AACCUGGUUGAUCCUGCCAGUAGUCAUAUGCUUGUCUCAAAGAUUUAACCAUGCAUGUCUAAGUAUAAGUUUUUUACUGCGAAACUGUGAAUGGCUCAUUAUAACAGUUAUUAUUUACUACACGGUCAGUGAUUCAUUGGAUACCCAUGGUAAUUCUAGAGCUAAUACAUGCUUACAAACCCAACUUCUCGGAAGGGUUGCGCUUAUUAGAUACCGAACCAGCCUAGGCUCUGCCUAGAAUUUGUUGAUUCAUAGUGUUCUGGCGAAUCGCCUCUCGUAGGCGAUGAGUGUAUCAAGUUUCUGACCUAUCAGCUGGACGGUAGGGUAUUGGCCUACCGUGGCUUUGACGGGUAACGGAGAAUUAGGGUUCGAUUCCGGAGAGGGAGCCUGAGAAACGGCUACCACAUCUAAGGAAGGCAGCAGGUGCGUAAAUUACCCAAUCCUGACACAGGGAGGUAGUGACAAGAAAUAUCAAUAUAAGACGUUUGUGUCUUGUAAUUGGGAUGAGCGAAACAUAAACCGCUUCUCGAGUAUCAAUUGGAGGGCAAGUCUGGUGCCAGCAGCCGCGGUAAUUCCAGCUCCAAUAGC
rnacentral:rRNA from 1 species